AACACAUCACUCUGCAAUCAAAGAAAAUCAGCAUUACAAAACAUCAUCAGAUAAAGUAAAUUGGCUAGUGAAAAAAUGUUGCAAGAACUUUAAUUUGAGAAAUUUAACAAAGAAAACUAUCGCUGCAGUGUCAACAUUAACGAAUGUGAGCAUCUUGAUAACAGCAAAUAAGCAACAAGAGAAUGUGCUGCGUUUGGCAACAGUGAAGAUUAGUGAAAUUGUGGUCUUAUCCUCCAGGUCAACAAGGAAUAUAGUGACAACAAAAAUACAGAAAUACAGAUGAAUAAAAAUACUAUACUUCAAUCAUCAUCAGUAUGA
rnacentral:misc_RNA from 1 species